rnacentral:rRNA from 1 species
CCUACGGGAGGCAGCAGUGGGGAAUAUUGCACAAUGGGCGAAAGCCUGAUGCAGCGACGCCGCGUGAGUGAAGAAGUAUUUCGGUAUGUAAAACUCUAUCAGCAGGGAAGUAAAUGACGGUACCUGAUUAAGAAGCCCCGGCUCACUACGUGCCAGCAGCCGCGGUAAUACGUAGGGGGCAAGCGUUAUCCGGAUUUACUGGGUGUAAAGGGAGCGUAGACGGCAGCGCAAGUCUGAAGUGAAAUGCCGGGGCUUAACCGCGGAACUGCUGUUGAAACUGUGCAGCUAGAGUGCAGGAGAGGUAAGUGGAAUUCCUAGUGUAGCGGUGAAAUGCGUAGAUAUGAGGAGGAACACCAGUGGCGAAGGCGGCUCACUGGACUGUAACUGACGUUGAGGCUCGAAAGUGUGGGGAGCAAACAGGAUUAGAUACCCGUGUAGUC